GCUUACGGCCACACCGGCCUGAGUACGCCUGAUCUCGUCCGAUCUCGGAAGCUAAGUAGGGUCGGGCCUGGUUAGUACUUGGAUGGGAGACCGCCUGGGAAUACCAGGUGCUGUAAGCU
ensembl:rRNA 5S_rRNA 5S ribosomal RNA